GUGGGGAAUUUUGGACAAUGGGGGAAACCCUGAUCCAGCCAUGCCGCGUGCGGGAAGAAGGCCUUCGGGUUGUAAACCGCUUUUGUCGGGGAAGAAAUCUUCCGGGCUAAUACCCUGGGAGGAUGACGGUACCCGAAGAAUAAGCACCGGCUAACUACGUGCCAGCAGCCGCGGUAAUACGUAGGGUGCAAGCGUUAAUCGGAAUUACUGGGCGUAAAGCGUGCGCAGGCGGUCGUGCAAGACAGAUGUGAAAUCCCCGGGCUUAACCUGGGCACUGCAUUUGUGACUGCUCGACUGGAGUACGGCAGAGGGGGGUAGAAUUCCGCGUGUAGCAGUGAAAUGCGUAGAUAUGCGGAGGAACACCGAUGGCGAAGGCAGCCCCCUGGGCCUGUACUGACGCUCAUGCACGAAAGCGUGGGGAGCAAACAGGAUUAGAAACCCUGGUAGUCC
rnacentral:rRNA from 1 species